CCCAAUGUCGAUGCUGUUCGUCGACAUGGAAAACCCUUCCUCGCUUGGACGUUCGACUCAAAGAUCGUUGCCGUUGCGGCUUUGGGGAUAGCCGCGGAGGAGACCUCUCUGCCUGAGAAAAGAAUGAAGAAGACCAACACAUCAAAAGAGGUCAGCAAUCAAAUCAUUUUUGGUAUUGAAAU